AACGAACGCUGGCGGCAUGCCUAACACAUGCAAGUCGAACGAGACCUUCGGGUCUAGUGGCGCACGGGUGCGUAACGCGUGGGAACCUGCCCUUAGGUUCGGAAUAACUCUCCGAAAGGGGUGCUAAUACCGGAUAAUGUCUUCGGACCAAAGAUUUAUCGUCUUUGGAUGGGCCCGCGUUGGUUUAGCUAGUUGGUAGGGUAAAAGCCUACCACGGCGACGAUCCAUAGCUGGGCUGAGAGGAAGAUCAGCCACACUGGGACUGAGACACGGCCCAGACUCCUACGGGAGGCAGCAGUGGUGAAUAUUGGACAAUGGGCGAAAGCCUGAUCCAGCAAUGCCGCGUGAGUGAUGAAGGCCUUAGGGUUGUAAAGCUCUUUUACCCGGGAUGAUAAUGACAGUACCGGGAGAAUAAGCUCCGGCUAACUCCGUG
rnacentral:rRNA from 1 species